UCAUAACUUGGUCGUUUUAAGCCGGAAUUAGCUCAUUUUUGGACACGAGCUACAUAUUACCAUAUAUUUUCAUUUCCCAAAAGCCUGUAAUUUUUCUCAUUAACUAAAUGUCCAAAACAUCCCUCGGAAAAUUUUGGCCAGAAACUUUUUGCAAUUUGGCAGUUUUGGAGUCCUUCACCAAAACUUAAAUAAAACGAAAUCUGUAACUCCGAUUAAUGAUCCGUCAAUUUUGUUGGAUUCGUAUCUUUCCGAACUACAGUUUUCAUAUAUCACAAUCUAUAUUUGGAUAUGUUUAGCUCCCAGAAUUUAGCCCGGAAGUGGCUGUUACAAACUGUUACUCUAACAGUUUUUCUUACCUUUAAGUAGUUUGGGAGAAAUCCCAUAACUCCCUCCUCCGAUGUUGGAUUUAGUCCGUUUUGGAGUCUAUGGAAAGCUUAUUGAGUGUACUAUAACAUAUCACAAGUCCAGAAUUUUUAGAGCACUCUAACAAAUCCGAAAUUUUCUGUUUUAAGGCAGCAGUCCACUAACUCAUUUAAAACAAAAAAAACUGUUUUGGUUAUUCUUCUUUGUUCAAGCCUAUCAACCCUAUAAAUGGCAAGAUCUAACCAUAAAAUAUCAUUUAUCAUGUAGAUCUUCCCUCAUAUGGAUCAUAAGUUCAACACUUGAUGAAAAACAACCAUCACAAAACACAUAAACUAACUAGAGUUUUUAGUUUAGGAAAUUUUCAUACCUUUUUCUUAAGCCUUCCUUCUUCUUCUUCUUCUUCCUUCUUCCAUGGAUGAACUUUCUCUCUCUUUAAUUCUUGAAAAUAAUUGAUGCAAAUGGUUUGGUUGAUAUGAGGGGCUAAUAUUGCUUGGAUUAUUGCCCCAACAAGUUGCCAAUUAUUGAACAUAGGAUUCUUUAGCAAUUAUUCACCAAAAUGGGACAAAAGGGUAAAAUGGACAUUUCCAUAUCAAUAAUUGAUUUCUUUUUCUUUUAUUUUUAUUUAGCAUACCAAAUGUCCAAUAUGUCCCUCCUUAAUUGGGCUUAAAUUUGAGCCACCAUUUCCAUCUUUUGGGCUAUCAAU
rnacentral:lncRNA from 1 species